UACGUAGGGGGGCAAGCGUUGUCCGGAUUUAUUGGGCGUAAAGAGCGUGUAGGCGGCCAUACAGGUCAGCUGUGAAAACUCGAGGCUCAACCUCGAGACGUCGGUUGAAACCGUAUGGCUAGAGUCCGGAAGAGGAGAGUGGAAUUCCCGGUGUAGCGGUGAAAUGCGCAGAUAUCGGGAAGAACACCCGUGGCGAAGGCGG
rnacentral:rRNA from 1 species